CCUGGCGGCAUUAGCGCGGUGGUCCCACCUGACCCCAUGCCGAACUCAGAAGUGAAACGCCGUAGCGCCGAUGGUAGUGUGGGGUCUCCCCAUGCGAGAGUAGGGAACUGCCAGGC
rnacentral:rRNA from 37 species